UAAAAAGAGACAGCAUAGCUUAUUUUGGCAGUGCAAAGCUCAUUAUGGCCAGGAAUGCCACACACUACACGAGGCAGCCCAGGGACUCUCCUGGUCGCACGAGCCCUGCACCGUGCCCAGAGCACGCCCAGCAAAGCCAGCGGCCAUGGUGGCCCAGCUGCAGGACAAAACCAACAGUGAGGGGGGCACAGGGCUCUUCUCCAGUGCACAACCACUGCCCAUGGGAGAGGCCUCUUCCUCCCUGCUUAAAUUACUCCCUCCCAAUUCUUCUGCCAUUUCACUGUCACUCUUUCUGGCUGCCAUGGCCACACUGCACUCAGCUUGGUUCAUUCAGCUGGCGUAGGAUUUGGGAGUUCUCAAGAGAGGACAGAGGGAUGUCACUGGGAAAAGCAACAGUCUUAAGGCUCCUUCCUCUCAUCCCCCUUUUCAGAAAACUUUUCCACUCUGGAUGAGAUUUAUGGAAGUACAGAAGUGAUAUAUUAAAGAAUAUAACUUUCACUGACAAGCCUGUUUGAAAAUUUCCCUCUUAGUGCUUUCUAUUGCCGUGGUAAGGAAAGCAGCAUCCUCAUCUACAUUAGCAAGGAAAAUGCCCUGAAAAACUGGAAAGAUAGAGUGUAAUUUUUCAAGCACAUACUGUGUGUGUCUGUCAGAGGGCUUGCUGCAGCUUAACAACCUUGCUCAGCCUCAUCUGUGACCCCACACCCCCUGCCUGGGCCCUAUUUAAGCACAGCCAGAGAUCAUUGCUCCUUUCUCAGGUGGUGCUGUGCAAUGCUGCUCUCAGCCCUGAUGGUUUUCUGCCUUUGCACUGUCCACAACCCUACCAAGGAGGAAAGUUAAACCUCUCCAACGUUUUGGAAGGAAAUGCAGGUCUGACUGUGCUUCUGCAUCCUGCCUUCCCAACCUGCUCCAGCUCUGCCUCACCAGGGAUGAAGGAUGGGUCAAACUUUCUGCUCACCACAGCUUUGCUACUGAUACCACAAACCAUGUGAAGGCAUCAACACCCCUUGCAGAAAGAGCUUGUGUGGUCACUGCCGUGUCAAUCACUCACUGAUCACCCAGGAUCUGAACAGGGGGCCUGCCAGGGGAUGUGAGGAGUGACUGUCCUGUCGCCAAGGCCCUCAUGCUUGUUUGCCUCUGAAAGUCCCUGUCUGUGUGUACUGCUGUGCCACUCUGCCUUGGACACUCUGCCUUGGACACACCUUUUAAAAUCUAACAUUAAUGUACUGCAUUUGCCUUAAUGUUCCUUUUGGGAUGUGAGUGCAAACGACCUCAUCUUUUAAUAGAGAUGAGCUAUGCGGGGGGAAACCACAGUAGUACUUUUAUUUAAAUCCAGGUAACAUCUCGCCUGUCUUUUUGAUUGGAAGAAGCAGUGAAAGGGUGUGUGGUUUUUGGUUUUCGGUUGGUGGGAUCUUUUGUUUGGUUGUUUUUUGUUGGUGUUUUUUUUUUUGCAUUUAGCUUAUUAAAAAUUUCAGUUUUAUGAAGGAGGGGGUUGUUUAAUCCUCUUUUCCGUUGUAGGGAGAAACAAAGCAAAGAAUCGUACAAAACAAUGCAAAUUGAAAAGGAAGUUUGGGGCUGCUUGGGAGGCUGCUUUACAUCCAGUGCAGUGUGUGGAAACCAUGACCACCCUUGGGUAGAACAAUCUCUAAUUCAGCAGCUACUCCAUGAAAUAGAGCAGUUGGAGCUGUGCUACUGCUGAGUAGCAGUAGAUUCUUUGGUCUGCUCAUUUCAGAUAAUCCUUGUUACUGAAAAAUAAACCAAGCCCCAUCCUGGUGGGCAUGUGCAGCUGUGGGUACACCUUCAUAUCACUGAUCUUUAAAGCACUAUAUAACGAAUCCUUCUGCUUCCCUGCUCUUGCCUGAGUUUUACUCUAUAUCUUCUCCCUCAUCUCAAAUGAUGCCCUACCAAAUUUUAAUAGUCCACCUGUUCACUCUGUAUUCUACCUGAACUAUUCCUUAGCAUUUCUUCCUGAAAACACUUGAGGAUCUGAAAUGUGGGUUCAAAAUUUCAAUAGUCCUGCACAGCUCAAAACUUACUACAAAAACUUUCUUAGUUUUAAUAAGCUCCAUAGCCAGUUAGAGGGUAAGUAAAUAUGCUGCAUAUGGGUCAAGUGAGGAAUAGACAUUUUUUAAAGGUCAUAAAUAAUUCAAAGACAAAACAAGAACUAAAAAAGAUCCUGUAGUAAGCUAAACUUCUCCUUAUACUAGACCCAGAUUUAACUCUCAUUUUAAAAUUGUCUGCACUGUAGCAACAUGAUGUUCAUGUAGAAAGAAUAAAGGAAACAAGAAAUGUGAUAAUUUGAAAACUUGUGUAAAAAAUCAGUGUGUCACCUUGGAUGGUCAUGAUGUUUGGAUGUUCCUCUGCAGUUUUUAUCUCUGUUGUUCCGUGUAACCCAACCAGUCUUUAAAACAGGUAGUUAAUAUAUUUGAAUUAAAGUCUCCACAACCCUGCGA